UACGGGGGGGGCAAGCGUUGUUCAGAAUUACUGGGCGUAAAGGGCUCGUAGGCGGCCAACUAAGUCAGACGUGAAAUCCCUCGGCUUAACCGGGGAACUGCGUCUGAUACUGGAUGGCUAGAGGUUGGGAGAGGGAUGCGGAAUUCCAGGUGUAGCGGUGAAAUGCGUAGAUAUCUGGAGGAACACCGGUGGCGAAGGCGGCAUCCUGGACCAAUUCUGACGCUGAGGAGCGGAAGCCAGGGGAGCAAACGGG
rnacentral:rRNA from 1 species